GCAUCGGUGACGCAACGGUCAGCAUACGCUCCCGAAGAGAGUGAGUUCUGGGUUCGAUUCCCGGCUGACGCA